rnacentral:rRNA from 1 species
GCUUACCAUGCAAGUCGAGCGAGGCCCUUCCUUCGGGAAGGUGUCCUAGCGGCGAACGGGUGAGUAACACGUGGGCAACCUGCCCCUAGCACUGGGAUAACCCCGGGAAACCGGGGCUAAUACCGGAUAUGACUGCGGACGGCAUCUUCCGCGGUGGAAAAGGUUACUGGCUAGGGAUGGGCCCGCGGCCUAUCAGCUUGUUGGUGGGGUAACGGCCCACCAAGGCGACGACGGGUAGCCGGCCUGAGAGGGCGACCGGCCACACUGGGACUGAGACACGGCCCAGACUCCUACGGGAGGCAGCAGUGGGGAAUAUUGCACAAUGGGCGAAAGCCUGAUGCAGCGACGCCGCGUGAGGGAUGACGGCCUUCGGGUUGUAAACCUCUUUCAGCUCCGACGAAGCGAAAGUGACGGUAGGAGCAGAAGAAGCACCGGCCAACUACGUGCCAGCAGCCGCGGUAAUACGUAGGGUGCAAGCGUUGUCCGGAAUUAUUGGGCGUAAAGAGCUCGUAGGCGGCUUGUCGCGUCGACUGUGAAAACCUGGGGCUUAACCCCGGGCCUGCAGCCGAUACGGGCAAGCUAGAAUUCGGUAGGGGAGACUGGAAUUCCUGGUGUAGCGGUGAAAUGCGCAGAUAUCAGGAGGAACACCGGUGGCGAAGGCGGGUCUCUGGGCCGAUAUUGACGCUGAGGAGCGAAAGCGUGGGGAGCGAACAGGAUUAGAUACCCUGGUAGUCCACGCCGUAAACGGUGGGCGCUAGGUGUGGGCCACAUUCCACGUGGUCUGUGCCGCAGCUAACGCAUAAGCGCC